UUUCAAUACUCGCAUGAGCCCAUGACACAUUUUUACUUUGGUAACUUAUGAGGACUGAAAAAAUACAAAUGUCGUGUAUAUGUAGCAGUGUCAACACUGGUUUCAAACUGCUUUCUAUGUUCAUUUGUUUACUGCUGAUACAUAAUUACACAGUCAAAAAGACUCCCAAGAAGACUUACAACAGUAGAAGUCAAGUACCAAUAAACAAGGAUACGGCAGAUUCUGCACCAUUUCAAAGAUUAAAAUAGGGAUAUGUUCAUCAUAUUCCCACCCCAAGGAUGACUGCCCAAAUAUCCUCCUGCAAACACACAGCAUUCAAAAUUUUCCUCUGUCUCUGGUAUUCAUCUAUUCAGCAAUCACUUGUAUUUGACUUUUUGAUGUUUGUUUUUUAGGCUAAGCACUGCAUAUACCUAGUUAUAAGUCUAGAAAUUUUAGUCAAAAACUUGAGCCAUGGAUCACUGUUAGUACUGUAUCUUAACUCUUAUCAAACAAACAAUUCCCUUCUCUGACUAGAAAAGCAAAAAUUAAGACAUUAAUCCAUCCUGGAAAAACCUGACAGAAUCAUCAACCCACCUCCACUCUCUCUGCUGCCUCACCACUUCUGGCCUUUUUGAAUGACUGGGCAGGGAAAUGGUGGCCAGGGCCAUUGGCGUUUUCCUUUACUUAUACACAGGUAAUUUCAAAAUUCAUUAUUUAGCUCCAAAACUUGCCUUUGGCUAAUACAUGAUCAGGGCUGUAGCCGGAGGGGGGGGGUAGGGGUUCAACCCCCCCCCCCCUGAAAUUUUUCAAGUUUUGAAAAAACCUGAUUUACUCAUGAAUUUUAACUGUUAACCAAAUCCCCAUGAGUGUCCACUGAAGUUUAUCUGUCUUGAGUGCCCACUGAAGUUUAUCAAUGGAGCCUGAUUUCUAAGUU
rnacentral:lncRNA from 11 species